GGAGCGGAAGAGGACUUUCACUAUGAACUGGGACGGCCUCCACGAUGAUGACCGCUUCUUCGAGUCCUGGGAGAGAACCGGGGGCGUCGAAUUCGCCGUUGCCGGCAAUGCUUGUACGGUCUAGAUCAGAAGGAGAGAUCGAAGCUUUCUUGGCUAAUAAACGAAGGAAAGAAGAGUUAGUCGGCACAAUCUCUAAACAAUGGCUGAUGAGAACAUCGUCGACGAUCGCCGCGCCUAGCUCUAAAAUGUGUUCGUCCUCGAUGCCUCGUCACUCCUUGUUCAGAAACAGAAGCAAUCCGAUGAAGAAUAUGGCUGGAGGUUGCAAGAAUUUCAGGCCGAAUCAGCUUCCUCCAAUGAGCUCCGAAAAACUCCAAAGAGAGGUUAGUUACCUUCAGAAUGACAAUACUAUGCCGGAGAAAAAGCAGAAGGAGCUGAAGGCGACGAUACAUAGCUUACUUCAAUCUAUGGAAACUUUCGUGAAUGCUUAUGAGGUUUGUGUUUGUGUGCCAAUUAUUGAUGCCUGUCAGUUUAUGCAUGUAGUUCAGGCACUUAAUGUGAAGUGUUUGUAAGCCCUAGGCUAUUGUAGACAUAAUGUAGGAGUCAUAUAUUUGUGGAAGGAAUAAAGUAAUGGUUCUGUUAUAUGAACUUUGCGAGUUAUUAUAUUAAAUUAUGAAUUAUUGCAGUGGAUGCUGGUUGUGUUCAGAUGUAAACAAUUGCGUUUGAAUUUUGAAAUCUGAAAUUUUUUCUGAGUGGGAUGAUUGUCUUGUUUAUAUAUAGAGUAAAUUUGAUUCAUUAAUUGUGUCCAUGAUACCUUAGUCAUGACAUGUCACUAAUUUCAAUUCCAAAUCGCAGAUCCAUUCUAUGUUUGUAGCCCCAGAUUUGUUUCAGUACAACUAUCCACGCUAAUGCAGAAAAAUUCUUAAGGGAGAAAGGUUUAAGAUGACAAUAUACAAACUGGAGAGUGGUAAUGUAUCUGCAAGCAGUUCAAAUUACUCCAUUCAGGUCUGGCUUUCAGCCAGAAAUUGUGACCUUGAGGGAAUCUUAUGGAGUAAGAAGCUCGUGAGGGGGAUCUUGCAAUUUGCAAAUGCUACUGAUUUGCAAAGAUCAAGAUCAUAAAGGAGGUUAGGACUUUCACUGAUUUGGGACUAGAGAACACUAAAGACUUGGUGGAAAAGGCUCAUGUUGUGUUGAAGAAGGGUGUGACCAAAGAGGUGGCAGGGCCUAUUUUGACAAGCUUAAGGAGUUGGGUGCUAAUGUGGUGUUGGAAUGAAAUCAAUUGUCUUUUCUUUUAUACUUUUUUUUUAAUUCAUGUAGAAUAGUGAUAGAUAAGUCUAUUGAUAAAUGGUGAUUUCUUUUCAUUUUUUUCUUCCCAGUUUGGUUCCUUUUCUCAAAUGGCCUUGUCAUUUGUUUUUGGAUUUUUGUAGGCUAUAGGUUUUGGUUGUUUUUCUCGGUCACUGUAUCAACAUGAAUUGCCAACUAGAA